GCGCGCUUAGCUCAAUUGGUAGAGCGCUUCGUUGACGUCGAAGAGGCAGGGGGAUCGUAACCCUCAGCGCGCA
rnacentral:tRNA from 1 species